UGAACUUGCACAUAUCUUGCGAGUCCCCUUCCAAAACGGAGAUAAUAACAGCUAUCAAAUCUCUGAGAAAUAACAGGUCCCCGGGAAUCGAUAACAUUGCUGCCGAACUACUUAAAACUGACCCGCAUCUAACCUCUGAACUUUUGCUCUCCAUAAUCCGAGAGGUGUGGGAAACAAACUGCAUUCCAGCGGGCUGGAAAAAAGGUAAUAUUAUUAAGCUUCCAAAAAAGGGCAACCUCACACUGUGCAAAAA
rnacentral:lncRNA from 1 species